UUAAGCGACUAAGCGUACACGGUGGAUGCCCUGGCAGUCAGAGGCGAUGAAGGACGUGCUAAUCUGCGAUAAGCGUCGGUAAGGUGAUAUGAACCGUUAUAACCGGCGAUUUCCGAAUGGGGAAACCCAGUGUGUUUCGACACACUAUCAUUAACUGAAUCCAUAGGUUAAUGAGGCGAACCGGGGGAACUGAAACAUCUAAGUACCCCGAGGAAAAGAAAUCAACCGAGAUUCCCCCAGUAGCGGCGAGCGAACGGGGAGCAGCCCAGAGCCUGAAUCAGUGUGUGUGUUAGUGGAAGCGUCUGGAAAGGCGCGCGAUACAGGGUGACAGCCCCGUACACAAAAAUGCACAUGCUGUGAGCUCGAUGAGUAGGGCGGGACACGUGGUAUCCUGUCUGAAUAUGGGGGGACCAUCCUCCAAGGCUAAAUACUCCUGACUGACCGAUAGUGAACCAGUACCGUGAGGGAAAGGCGAAAAGAACCCCGGCGAGGGGAGUGAAAAAGAACCUGAAACCGUGUACGUACAAGCAGUGGGAGCACGCUUAGGCGUGUGACUGCGUACCUUUUGUAUAAUGGGUCAGCGACUUAUAUUCUGUAGCAAGGUUAACCGAAUAGGGGAGCCGAAGGGAAACCGAGUCUUAACUGGGCGUUAAGUUGCAGGGUAUAGACCCGAAACCCGGUGAUCUAGCCAUGGGCAGGUUGAAGGUUGGGUAACACUAACUGGAGGACCGAACCGACUAAUGUUGAAAAAUUAGCGGAUGACUUGUGGCUGGGGGUGAAAGGCCAAUCAAACCGGGAGAUAGCUGGUUCUCCCCGAAAGCUAUUUAGGUAGCGCCUCGUGAAUUCAUCUCCGGGGGUAGAGCACUGUUUCGGCAAGGGGGUCAUCCCGACUUACCAACCCGAUGCAAACUGCGAAUACCGGAGAAUGUUAUCACGGGAGACACACGGCGGGUGCUAACGUCCGUCGUGAAGAGGGAAACAACCCAGACCGCCAGCUAAGGUCCCAAAGUCAUGGUUAAGUGGGAAACGAUGUGGGAAGGCCCAGACAGCCAGGAUGUUGGCUUAGAAGCAGCCAUCAUUUAAAGAAAGCGUAAUAGCUCACUGGUCGAGUCGGCCUGCGCGGAAGAUGUAACGGGGCUAAACCAUGCACCGAAGCUGCGGCAGCGACGCUUAUGCGUUGUUGGGUAGGGGAGCGUUCUGUAAGCCUGCGAAGGUGUGCUGUGAGGCAUGCUGGAGGUAUCAGAAGUGCGAAUGCUGACAUAAGUAACGAUAAAGCGGGUGAAAAGCCCGCUCGCCGGAAGACCAAGGGUUCCUGUCCAACGUUAAUCGGGGCAGGGUGAGUCGACCCCUAAGGCGAGGCCGAAAGGCGUAGUCGAUGGGAAACAGGUUAAUAUUCCUGUACUUGGUGUUACUGCGAAGGGGGGACGGAGAAGGCUAUGUUGGCCGGGCGACGGUUGUCCCGGUUUAAGCGUGUAGGCUGGUUUUCCAGGCAAAUCCGGAAAACUAAGGCUGAGGCGUGAUGACGAGGCACUACGGUGCUGAAGCAACAAAUGCCCUGCUUCCAGGAAAAGCCUCUAAGCAUCAGGUAACAUCAAAUCGUACCCCAAACCGACACAGGUGGUCAGGUAGAGAAUACCAAGGCGCUUGAGAGAACUCGGGUGAAGGAACUAGGCAAAAUGGUGCCGUAACUUCGGGAGAAGGCACGCUGAUAUGUAGGUGAAGUCCCUCGCGGAUGGAGCUGAAAUCAGUCGAAGAUACCAGCUGGCUGCAACUGUUUAUUAAAAACACAGCACUGUGCAAACACGAAAGUGGACGUAUACGGUGUGACGCCUGCCCGGUGCCGGAAGGUUAAUUGAUGGGGUUAGCGCAAGCGAAGCUCUUGAUCGAAGCCCCGGUAAACGGCGGCCGUAACUAUAACGGUCCUAAGGUAGCGAAAUUCCUUGUCGGGUAAGUUCCGACCUGCACGAAUGGCGUAAUGAUGGCCAGGCUGUCUCCACCCGAGACUCAGUGAAAUUGAACUCGCUGUGAAGAUGCAGUGUACCCGCGGCAAGACGGAAAGACCCCGUGAACCUUUACUAUAGCUUGACACUGAACAUUGAGCCUUGAUGUGUAGGAUAGGUGGGAGGCUU
rnacentral:rRNA from 1 species